rnacentral:misc_RNA from 1 species
GAUGAAGAACGUAGCGAAAUGCGAUACGUAGUGUGAAUUGCAGAAUCCAGUGAAUCAUCGAAUCUUUGAACGCACAUUGCGCCCCUUGGUAUUCCGAGGGGCAUGCCUGUUCGAGCGUCAUUUUGACCACUCCCGCUUGCGGGGUCUUGGGCCUUCGCCUCUGGGCGGGCCUUAAAAUCAGUGGCGGUGCCGUCCGGCUCUAAGCGUAGUAAAUCUCCUCGCUAUAGGGUUCCGGAGGGAUGCUGGCCAACAACCCCCAACUUUUAAGGUUGACCUCGGAUCAGGUAGGGAUACCCGCUGAACUUAAGCAUAUCAAUAAGCGGAGGA